GAUUUUAUUGGCUCAUCCCGGGUCCCGCAAAAAUGAUUUGAACUGCUCAUUUUUAUAAAGUAAUUCUUUAUGGUCUAUGAAAAAAUCAACUCAUCAAAUAUUAGUAAAAGCUUUUUCAAAAUUCGUAAGGUGAAAUUGACUGGUUCGCCCUAUGAAUUUUAAAAAAGUCCUUACCGGUAUCCGAUUGAAUUGAUUUUUUACAAAGACCCAUACAAAAAUGUUUUAUGUAAAAUGAGUGGUUCAAAUUAUCUUUGCAGGACCUGAGGUGGGCCCAGCAAAAUGGUACGUGCAUAAUAUGUUCCUGUUUUGUUGUGCGCAUAACACUUUUGAUCUAGUUAUUUUACAUGAAUAAAAGACAAAAAAAAAAAAGUGUCAAUAGAUAAAAGAGGAGUGUGAAAAUUAUUUCCUUCAUUAGUAAUGAGUUCUUUAAAUUUAUGAAAAAAUCUUGAAUUUUUCUUGCUAAAUAUGCAUUUUUUUAAGUUCUCGUCUCACGAAUUGAACAAUUUACUAUUUCUUUUUUAUUUAGAGGUAAAUGAUUUUGACACUUCACUUUUUGAUAAUCACACUCUAAAAUUUAGUGUUUUCCCUUCUAGACUUCUAGUGUUCAAAAUACAAUUAACUAACACAACGGAGAAGAGAGUCGCAUCCUUCUUUGAAUUCAAUUUGUGGUAAGCUCCGGCGUCUGACGGCUUCUUGGAGGUGAUGAUGGUGAAAUCUGCAAAUUCUUUCAAAACCUAGUCUUGAGUGAACUCGUGAGCUUUCCACAAUUGCUACUCUUCUUUUGUAUUUUGGUUUUUUUAUUUGUCUUUUAUUAUCAAUUAAAAUAUUUCUACGUACUCAAAAAUUGAAGCCCCUAGCCUCCGGUGCAUAUUUCGAGCGCGGUUGGCCUGAGUUAAUUUGUUUUAUAAAAGAGAUAGUACAUAUUAUGGAUUUUAAUUGGUUUUCAUUUAGUUAUUUUCAUAAUUUAUUUAUUAAUUAAUUGUGUUGACGAGAGGAAUAAAAAAACUAUAAAAUCUAUACAAUGAGGUUGAAAGCAAUCAAAAUAAUAGUCACAGACAAUAAAAACAGUAUUUUGAAAGAUUUUUAUUAGUUUUAUAGACUUUGGUCAUUAUUUUUGCAUUUUUUAGAUAGCAUUCAUCAAGACGAUAAUCCAAAUGUGAAUCCGACAAAAACUCAUCACGCAAACGAUCAAAAAGACAGUGCCAACUGACAACAGUAAGUACUAAUGUUUUUGUCCAAAGUUCCAAAC